GAUGAACGCUCGGCGGCGUGCUUAACACAUGCAAGUCGAACGAUGAAGCCCGUGCUUGCGACGGGUGGAUUAGUGGCGAACGGGUGAGUAUCACGUGAGUAACCUGCCCUUAACUCUGGGAUAAGCCUGGGAAACUGGGUCUAAUACCGGAUACGACCAGUCACCGCAUGGUGUGCUGGUGGAAAGCUUUUGCGGUUUUGGAUGGACUCGCGGCCUAUCAGCUAGACGGUGGGGUAAUGGCCUACCGUGGCGAUGACGGGUAGCCGGCCUGAGAGGGUGACCGGCCACACUGGGACUGAGACACGGCCCAG
rnacentral:rRNA from 1 species